UACGGGGGGGGCAAGCGUUGUUCGGAAUUACUGGGCGUAAAGGGCUCGUAGGCGGCCAACUAAGUCGGACGUGAAAUCCCUCGGCUUAACCGGGGAACUGCGUCCGAUACUGGAUGGCUUGAGUUCGGGGGAGGGAUGCGGAAUUCCAGGUGUAGCGGUGAAAUGCGUAGAUAUCUGGAGGAACACCGGUGGCGAAGGCGGCAUCCUGGACCGACACUGACGCUGAGGAGCGAAAGCCAGGGGAGCAAACGGG
rnacentral:rRNA from 1 species